ACAAUAAUAAAUUAAAAUACAUACAUAAAAAAAAGAAUAAAUAAAUAAAUAAUAUAAAACAUUUUUUUGACUCCAGGAAUCUGUAACAUACGCAAGUUAUACCUUUCAUUGAAUUUACACAAAUCAGUAUAUAUUCUAACAGAAGGUUGCGGGAAAAAAAAAGAAAAAAGGGAGGAUCGCCGGCGCUGGUGUUGGCCGGUUGGCGGAACAACGACGGAAUAGGGGAAGAAGGGAAGGGGGAAGGUCGGCGAUGGGUGGAUCUGGGUCUGGCGACGUCGCGGCUAAGCUUCGCUGGCCGGUUAGUGGACUGACGGCGAUGGAAAAGGGAAAGGGAGGUCGGCGUCGGCGAAAGGGAGGAGGAACGACAGAGACGCGAGGCCGGUUGGUUUGCCGCUAUAGCGGUUUCGGCCAGAUCUGGUGUGUAGGUCGACUGAAAUCUGACGGAGUUCGACGGUGGCAGCCAUGAUUGGCGACGGUAAAAGGAAAAAGAAAGAGGGAAGACAUGGAUUUCACGGUAGGAAGGCGGGUUCGACUGGUUCCCACGUUUUUUGAUAGGUCAACGUCGGAAUCGACGUAGCAGUAAUCGACUAAGUCGGUUUUUGUAGUUGUUUCCAGCGAAAAUUUGUCAAAACGUGUGAAUUUUGGUGUAUGAUUUUGAUGUGUAUAUGCCCAUUCAGUGUAUGUGGGUAUGUGUAAACAGUGUAUGCAAAGAGAUAGAUUCUGUGAUUAUGUGUUUAUGUGAUCUGUGUAAAAGAGAAAUAUACAUAUUUUCAUCUACAUACUUAUUAGUUUCCAGGCUUAAAUUUAUUACUUAUAUACAUAUUAUAUUUUUAUCUACAUACUUAUUAGUUUCUAGGCUUAAAUUUAUUACUUAUAUACAUAUUUUAGCAAAAUAGGAUGCAUAAAAUUAUAUCAUUACAUAUAUUCAUACAUAGAAAACAUAUUGAAUAUUUUAUUCGUAUUUUUUCAUCAUAAAAUUGCUAACAUAAAUAAUACAUGUUUGAAUAUGAACAUGUAAUGAAUAAAUUGAGUGAUGAAAAAAAAGAUUGAUACCAAAAACUUUAACGGAACUCUAACUUUCAUUCUUUCUGUUCUUUUCUUCUUUUCUUGCCUGAUGUUUUCCUCUUUUUUCCUCUACUCUGAUUAACUCUCUAAUUUUUCACUCUCUUUUUUAUAGUGUGUAAUACAGUGUAGGUGGUAAGAAUAAUACGUAGAAUCUGUAGGAUGUGGGCGAGGAAAAUCCUUAAAUACAGAAUUUUUUAGAGGAACAGUUACUAUAUAAAAGGGGGAAUUUUAAAAUUUGAAUUAUUUUUUUUAAUAGAAGAUAAUAAUAAUAAUAAAUAAAAUUAAUAAAUAAAUAAAAUAAAAUAAAUAAACCUAAACUACCCAAACCACCCACAAUUCCCACUCCUAAUUAAUCUCCCCCACUUUCCCACACACAUGCACACAUGCACUUAACAUAUAUAAACACACAUGCACACAUGCACUUAGGAUUAAGCACACACACACGGAAGAUUUGAAAACAAAAAAAAAAAAAACAAUAAUAGAAUAAUAAUAGUAAUAAUAAGUAUAAUAAUAACUAAUUAAUUUUUAUAUUUUUAAGAAAAUACAAUAAAUAUUUAUAAAUAGACAAAAUAAAUAAAAUAGUACUAAAACUACUAAUUUAUUAAAAUUUAGAAAACAAAAAUAUAUAUUUUUAAAUUUUUGUAUUAAAAAUAAAAAUAAAAUAUCUCAAAAUUAACUUUAUUUAUUUAUUUAUUCAUUUAUUUUUAACUAUAAUUCACUAAAAAUGAAGUAAGAGUUAAAAAAUAUUGGAUCGGUAUAAAUAUUUAAUAUAGAUAAAUGAAUUAAAAUUCAGGGAGAAUAAAAAAUCACGUGUCUACAUUUUUGUUCCUCUUGUGUGGACUCUCGAAGAGUUUUCAUACAAAGAAUUAGACAAGAUAUGAUUUUUGACCCUCCGAUUAUUCGAAAGGUAAGGAUAAAAUAAAAGAAAAGAUAUGACCGAGUCCUGGUUUUGGACCUCCUACCUAUCCCGGGUUAUAAGGGAAUCAGGUCACGUGUAGUUCAAAAUUAACAUGGUGAGAGAAUGAGUUAGACGUCGAGUGAGAUUCCGUCGAGUUUUCGGUUAAUGACUUUUGCUUUUUAUAUCAAAUGACUAACAAAAAUAAAAAAUGAAAAAUACAAAUGAAAAAUGCAAUUUCUCUGAAAUUUUAAUUCGAAUCUUCAUGACUUGAACUUGAAAAUUCACCCAAUUCUUCAGGCGGGCUCCUGAUUUGUUACUUCUUCACCCUGUUCUUCAGGCGGGCUCCUAGACUUACUUUUCUUCACCUUGUUCUUUAGGCGGACACCUGAAUUUUUUUUUCUUCAUCCUGUUCUUCAGGCGGGCUACUGGACUUGAUUUUUUUCAUCCCGUUCUUCAGGCGGGCUCCCGGACUUGCUUUUUCAUCAUCCUGUUCUUCAGGCGGGCUCCUGGAAUCACUUUUUCUUCACCUGUUCUUCAGGCGGGCUCCUGGACUUACUUUUUCUUCACCCUGUUCUUCAGGCAGGCUCCUGGACUUAUUUUUCUGACUUUUCAAAUAUGUUUCUGAACUCAAAAUAAAAGGUGAAAUAGAAAAAUAACAUUCCAUUUUUCAGGAGGAUGCUAGACAAAAAAUAAAUUCCCAUUUUUCAGGAGGGUCCUGAGCGAAAAAUAAUUCUCAUUCUUCAGGAAGGUCCUGGACAAAAAUAAAUUUCCAUUCUUCAGGAGGGUCCUGAGCGAAAAAUAAAUUCUAUUCUUCAGCAGGUCCUAAGCGAAAAAUAAAUUCCCAUUCUUCAGGAGAGUCCUGGACAAAAAUAAAUUCUCAUUCUUCAGGAGGGUCCUGAGCGAAAAAUAAAUUCUCAUUCUUUACACACGAAGCUUCUUUCAUUUUUCAACCUUUUUUAUUGCCCCAGUUUGUAUUGAGAAAAUUCAUGCGUGUCACCAGAUCUUAGAAAGUACGUCUUGCAAAGAAUAAAAUUUACCCUAACCAAGAUCCAGCAUCGUGUGUUGUAACCAUGCGUCUUGCAUUGACAAAAGUGUGAAAUUGCACCCUUUAUCUGAAAACUUUAAUAUGAAAAAGAAUAUCCUAUCUCUGUUUCAAACAAAGAAGUUAAAAAUUAUGAGUUUUAAAAUAUGUGGUGGUCGGUUUGUGGCAUUUGGGUUUUGAAGUGACCGCUCUUGCACUUGUCAUGCUCAACUCCCUUUCGAAUCCUUGAUAAAUAUUUAUUGACUUGUCAUAAUUCUGAUCUCAAAUUCUGACUAUUGAGACUCUCAACUCAAAACAUAUUUCUCUUGUAUGAUGUCUCUGGGUUUAACUUCCAAUACACCUUUUAUCUUUCCACGAGUUCAAAAAUUGUUAAAUCACAAUCAUUCUGAGUACUUUAUUUUACUUUGAAAUGCUUUCCCUGUGCAUCAACCUUUUGUCUUACUUUGUACUAUUAAAGGAAUUGGUAGCAAGUUUGGAAUCCUUUCUCAUUUGACUUGACUUGAAUUUGACUCAAGAAUACACAAAAGAUGAAAAUAAUUUUUCAUUUGAUGACAAGGACACAAAGAGUAAAAAAUUAAAAUAAAACAAAAAGGAAAAGGAAAAUACAAUAAGCAUUUUUUUAAAAACAAAAAGGAAAACUUAUCUGAAUGUGGAAACCGAUUCUGGUGAUUAAGACAUGCAUUUUGAAUCAAACAAUCAGAUCUACCCAUACCAAUUAUUACAACUUUUGCCCACUUAUUGAGUUUGAAAUAGACUCAUUCUUGAACAUGUUCCCUCUAGAUCACAAUCCUCCUUCGGCUAGUGGCACUUCAAUGGAUUUUUACCAAUGAGACUAUCUCAUUUCCAUUUCUUUCUCAACUCAAAGUCGCCUUAUGGUGGCCAUAGGGGUUUUCACCAAUAAGACUCUCUCAUUUCAUUAUUCUCACAGGUCACUGUCGCCUUAUAGUGCCCAAGGGGGUUUUCACCAAUAAGACUCUCUCAUUUUCAUUUUCAUUCAGUUUUUUUAUUUUUAAAGAAAAAUAACACCCAAAAUACGAAAUAUCAUGCACCCAUAACAUAUUUGCCUUGAAUUUCUCAAAGAUUGAUCUGAAGGUCUUUCUUUGAUUGUAACUUGACUUUUGAAAAGGGUUAGAAAGAAAGGGCGGCAUGAGGCUAAAAAAUUUACAUAGCAUUGGGUGAAGCAUACAACUUUUGGAAUCAACUCUUUAAGAAAAUAAACUUUUGCCUCAGUUUUAUUUCAUUCUGGGUAGCUUGAAUUUUCUUUUGGUUGGACCGAACCUCAGAGUAGGGUUGCCUAUGUAUUUUGUCAUAGCAAGAGUCAGGUCAAACGUAGUUCAUAGGAGUUAUUCUUUUGCUUGAUUUUGAUUUUUUUUCUUUUUUUUUUUUUUGUGAAAUUUUUGACGUUAAUCGAUUCCAAAAGAGGGGUACGAAAGAAAGAUAAAAUCUCAAAGGGGGUAAACAAAGGUUGAUAUAUUAUUCAGAUAGCAGAGCAAAAUGCCUUCAUCAUUUCAAUUUCUUAAAAUACAAGUACAAAACAUAUAUAACAUAAUUGUACAUGAAUAUCAUACAUAAUAUCUCUUAACUGCAUCAGAAAAAAAGCAUUCCUUCUAUUUUAUCUUCUACAUCAGUCAAAUAUGAUGCACCAUUAGGUAACACCUUCUUCACUAUGAACGGUCCUUGCCAAUUAGGAAAAACGUGCCUUUGGCUUCAAUCUUAUGGGGAAGGAUGUGCCUUAGUACUAACUGACCAGCUUCAAAUUGUCUGGGACACACCUUUCUGUUAUAGGCUCGAGCCAUUCUUUUUUAGUAUAGUUGGCCAUGACAUACCGAUGCCAGCUUUUUAUCAUGAAUCAAACUCAAUUGCUCCAAUCGGGUUUUGACCGACUGAUCAUUAUUGAUUUCGGCUUCUACAACAACUUGAAGAUAUGGAAUCUCAAUUUCUGUAGGUAUAGCCACUUCGACCCCAUACACAAGCGAGUACGGAGUUGCACCUAUUGAAGUUUGAACUGUAUUACGAUAACCCAAUAAAGCAAAAGGUAAAUUUUUAUGCCACUAUCGAGAUCCUUGUAAAAUUUUGCGGAGUAUUUUCUUUAGGUUCUUGUUAGUAGCUUCCACAACACCGUUCUCCUUCGGGCGAUAAGGAGUUAAAUUCCGAUGCAUAAUCUUAAAUUAUUGUCACACUUCAUACAUCAAAUAACUGUCGAGAUUUGCAGCAUUAUACGUGAUAAUUAUCUUUGGAUUGCCAAACCGACAAAUGAUGUUGAAGUGAACAAAAUCAACUACAACUUUCUUAGUCACUGACUUGAAAAUUAUUGCUUCUAUCCACUUCGUGAAAUAAUCAAUAUCUACCAAGAUGAACCUAUGUCCAUUCGAGACCUUUGGUUCAAUUGGUCCAAUUAUGUCUAUUCUCCAAGCCACAAAAGACCAUAAAACAGUCAUUAUAUGCAACUCAGAUGGAGGGAAAUGAAUCAAGUCCCCGUGUACCUGACAUUCGUGACAUUUACGGACAAAACGAAUGGAAUCUCGCUCCAUGGUGAGCUAAUAAUAACUUGCUCAAAGUAUUUUCUUUGCCAAAACAUACCCACUCAUGUGCGGUUCACAAAUCUCAGAAUGUACUUCAGUCAUGAUUUUUGAAGCUUGUUUUGCAUCUAUGCACCUUAAAAGUCCCAAAUCUGGAGUCGUCUUAUACAAGAUUCCCCCACUUAGGAAAAAUUCGCUAGCCAGACAUCGAAUGGUUCUCUUUUGGUUACUAUCGGAGUGUACGAGAUAUUUUCCAGUCUGAAUAUAUUCUUUGAUAUCAUGGAACCAAGGCUCUCCAUCAAGUUCUUCCUCAACCAUAUUGCAAUAUGCAUAUUGAUCAUGGAUCUAUAUAUGUAAAGGAUCGAUAUGAGUCUUAUCAGGAUGUUGAAGCAUCAAAGACAAAGUCGCCAAAUCAUCAACAAUCUCAUUAUGAUCUUUGGGAAUAUAUUUGAACUUUACUGAUACAAAUUGUUGACAAAGAUCUUGCAAACAACCUCAAUACGGUAUAAGCUUGCUGUCACGAGUCUCUCAAUACCCUUGGAUCUGGUGGACUAGUAAAUCUGAAUCUCCUAACACCAAUAGUUCUUGGAUUCCCAUGUCAAUGUAUAGUCUCAAACCCAAAAUACAUGCUUUGUAUUCUGCCAUAUUAUUUGUACAGUAGAAUCAAAGUUGGCUAUUACAGGAUAAUAUUGUCCUGAUUCAAAAAUAAGGACUGCCCCUAUCCCUAUUCUUUUUACAUUAGCGACUCUAUUAAAGAACAACUUCCAACCUGAGUGGCAAUCAUCAGACAUAACCUCAUCAACACAUAAUACCUCUUUAUCCGAAAAAUAAGUCUUUAAUGGCUCAUAUUCUUCAUCAAUAGAUUUUCAGCCAAAUAAUCCGCUAAAGCUUGAGCUUUCAUUGCAGUUUGUGUCACAUAGACAAUAUCAAACUCUGUGAGUAGCAUCUGUCAUUUUGCGAGUCUGAUUGUGGGUAUAGGCUUUUGAAAAAUAUACUUUAAGGGAUCCAUACGAGAUAUGAGGUAAGUAGUGUAAGAUGACAAGUAAUGCUUCAACUUUUGUGCUACCCAAGUUAAGGCACAACAGGUCUUUUCAAGAAGAGUGUACUUAGCCUCAUAAGUGGUAAACUUUUUGUUAAGGUAGUAGAUGACCUGUUCUUUUCUGCCUGUGACAUCAUAUUGACCCAAGACACAACCAAAAGAAUUGUCUAACAUAGACAUAUACAAUAUCAAGUGUCUGCCUGGCUCUGGAGAAACCAAAAUAAGCGGAUUCUAUAAGUACCUUUUAAUUUUGUCAAAUGCCUCUUGACAUUCUUCAGUCCAUUCAGCUUUAGCAUUCUUCUUCAACAACUUGAAUAUUAGCUCACAGGUUUUUGUAAGUUGGGCAAUGAAUCUAUUGAUAUAAUUCAACCUUCAAGUAAACUCAUCACCUCUGUUUUGUUCUUUGAUGGAGGCAAAUCUUAAAUGACUUUUAUUUUUGAAGGAUCUAACUCAAUGCCACGUCGACUGACUAUGAACUCCAAGAUUUUUGCCGAUGGGACUCCAAAUACAUAUUUUGCUAGGUUUAGUUUGAGAUCAUACCUUCGAAGCCUUUCAAAGAAUUUCCUCAAAUCUUUGACAUAGUCAGAUUGCUCUGUUGACUUAAUGAUCAUGUCAUCCACAUAAACUUCAAUCUCUUUGUGUAUCAUGUAAUGAAACAUUGUGGUCAUUGCCCUCAUGUAAGUUGCCCCAAUAUUCUUUAGUCCGAAAGGCAUAACUCAAUAAUAAUAUGUCUCCAUGACGUUAUAAAUAAUGUCUUUUCCGCAUCUUCUGGAUCCAUGAUAAUCUGGUGAUACCCCAGAUAACAAUCCACAAAAGAUACAAGAUCAUAUUUGGCAUAAUUAUCCAACAGAAUAUGGAUAUUGGGAAGUGGAAAAUUAUCAUUCGGACUUGCUUUAUUUGGAUCACGAUAAUCAAUACACAUCCAAACUUUGCCAUCCUUUUUUGGAACAGGGACAAUAUUUGCCAACCAAGUAGGAUAUUGGGCCACCCGAAUGACUUUAGCUUUAAGUUGCUUCAUGAUUUUCUCUUUUGUUUUUACACUCAUGUCAGUUUUAAGCUUUCUUAACUUUGGCUUGACAGGAGGGAAAUCAGGAUUAAUUGGCAACUUAUGAACCACAAAAUCAGUGCUUAAACCAGGCAUAUCAUUGUAAUACUAUGCAAAGAUGUCUUUGUACUCAAACAAAGCUUCAAUUAUAGCUUUCCUUUAUUGUGGUUGAGCAUAUACACUUAUCUUAGUUUCUCUAAUAUUUUUAGGAUCUCCUAAAUUGAUUUCCUCGGUUUCAUCCAAAUUGUGAUUUGAUUUAUUCUCAAACUGUUUGAAAUCUUUGCUUAUAUCCUCAAAUGCUUCCUCAUCAUCGUAUUCAACUUCUUUAUUUAUUAUUUCAUAAUUAAAUUGGAUUUUUAAAUCUGGUUGAUAAUUCUUCAUGGAUGUCAUAUCAUUAGAAUCAGCAUAUAAGAAACUCUAUAAUAGAAAAUAAAUAAGUAAAUAUUAGACUCAAAAUAAAACAAAGGGAAAUUACGUUUUAUUAAAAAUAAUGAUAGAAAGAGUUUUAACCUAAAAUAACAACAACGAUAGAAAAAGUUUUUAACCUAAAAUACCAAGGUAAAGAUCUGAAUUAUAAUCCUAGAACGAUUUAAAUUACAGAAAGAAAAACAAACAAACUACCAAGAUUGAAAGAAAAACAAAUAAACUACCAAGACUCCUUCAUAGUAAGGAGAGGUGUGGCCUCUCAAUUGUUAAGCUGGACAUCAAGGCCGAUGAACUGCAUAUUUGUAUUGCUGGUACAUUCCCCAAUUUUAACCAUAUUAGCUUCGAUAAACAUGUUCUGGAAAAGGCGAAUCAACUCUGUAUCAUAAUCAUUCAUUGACUCUGCAGCAGGUAAUAUGGAACACUCAACAACUCUGACUUUGAUAAAAGAUUCGUAGAUUGGCGGUAUCGGCUUGGUGAGUGACCAUGAAUCUUUCUUACACUUUUUAGCCUUAUUUAUGUCUUCAGCAGUGGGCUCGUAUCCCAAACCAAAGGUCCAAGGUUCUCAUGUGGGUUUACUGGAUGGGCCCUAUCUUGCAAAAACAUCCCUAGACCUUUUCCUGGUUUUAAACCAUGCUUUAAUAUUUUAUUCACUACCAUAACAGUCAAUAGAUGUUGAGGACAGUUGUGGUCUUGCAAUGAGAUUCCCCUCGAGGAUAUGCUCAACAGCCACUACCUCAAAAGCUUGAUGAAUUAGCACUCUAUCUGCAAUAUCUACUUCAAUAGAGAAAAAAGAGUAGUCUUUAUGCAUGGAUAAGUCUCCUUUACUAUGAACAACUAUUUCUUGCCUGUCGUGUUCAAAUUUGACCAUUUGGUGCAAUGUUGAUACAACUGCUCCAGCCCUAUGAAUCUAUGGCCUUCCCAAUAAUAUAUUAUAUGAAACAUUAAUGUUCAGCACUUAGAAAUUCAUAGCAAAAUCUAGAGGCCUGAUUGUCAAUAUGAGCUCUAUUUCACCAAUGACAUCAGUUUUUGAUCCGUCAAAACCUUUGACGCAUACAUUGUUAGGUCGGAUCCUUUCCAUACUAAUAUUCAACUUUUGCAAAGUUGAUAUAGGAAAAAUGUUAGUUCCUGAUCCUUCAUUAAUCAACACUUGAGUGACGAAGGAAUUCUCAUAUUUUAUAGUAAUGUAAAGACCUUUGUUAUGUUCGGUAUCUUCUACAGGCAAUUCGUCGUCUGAGAAAGUGAUCUUAUUUACCUCAAAGAUCCUUCUAAUAAUCUUUUAUAGAUGAUUCACCUUAAUCUCACUGGGAACACAUGCCUGGUUAAGAAUUUUCAUUAUAGCAUUGCGGUGAUUCUCUGAAUGUAUCAAUAAAGACCACAAAGAAAUCUGGGCUGGCGUCUUCUUCAACUGUUCUACAAUAGAAUAUUCUGGCAAUUUUUUUUUUUUUAACAAUUCUUCAGCUUCUUCAUUAGUAACUGGAUUCUUGACUGUCAUUCGUUUUUCAUUGCCUUGUUUAUUCUUUCUUAACUCUACUGGGGCAUAACAACUCCCAGAUCGAGUUAAUCCCCCUACACCAUCCAUAUUUUUAAUCACUUCUUUCCCCUUGUACAUUACCACAAUGCGAUCAUAGAUCUAGGGGACUACCUUGGUAUUAACCAUAGGCAACUGUGACACUGGUUUAAUAACAAUAAGAGCUACAAGAGCUCCUUUUAUAAUUAAGAGAGGCUUAGUGGAUCUUCCAGGAACAAUGAACUUUGGUUUUACUUGACUUGACUCAACAUUUUUGAAAUUUUUUUCUCCAUGACCAAAGGAACAUUCGAUGAUUCAGGUUUUGUUAUCACCUUCUCCACCUUUGCAGGUUUUUAUUUCGCCAAAUCCAUAAUAUUUGUUGAUUUUUCCUAAUUAGUUUUAAUCUUAAGGAUGAGCUUGAAAGAAAACAUAGCAUCUUCACCACUAGGUAUCACUUCGAGCAUGUUUGUUUCAUUAUGAUCUGGCAACGGAUUUUGAUUAAUAUUCGAACCGUCUGGACUUUGCACCAUGAUAUAUUGUGUGUCAAUCGGAUCUUGAAUAGCUCUUUUCAUAUACUAAUAUUUCUCUGUAUAGUGCCCUGGGGAAUCAAAACAGUAUGCACAUCUUCUAGAAUAAUCUAAAUUUUUCGAUAGAUGAUUCGAAAUCCUUCUCGCGAUUGGGCUCAAAACAUUCAUGUUCCUCAAUAUUUGAAAAAAGCUUGCGUAAGAUAUUUCAAUGGGAGUGAAAUUAUCAUUUCCUAUUUUAGCAAUCUUGAAGUCUGCUCUAGGCCGAAAUAUAGAUCUAAGGGGACCUUGUUGAACUUCUGGGAUUAGAGGACGAUUUUGGAUGGCUGGUGCACACCAUUAUGAGUAAGAAGGAGCCCAAGCAUAUGGUUAUGCAUUGUAAAUAGGAUACUGGGGGGAUGGAGAGAAAUAUAAUGGAUUUUGUGUGUAUGGUUGACGUUUACCUCUCCAAUUUUGUCGUGGACCUGGCACAAUAGUUGCAACAUCUUCUUUUAUUUUAUUUCCCCCAAAAUUUCCUACACCACUUUGAGUUGGCUAUGUUGUUACUUUCAAAGAGGCAUGGCUGAUAAUAUUUCCUAACUUAGUUCCAUUCUCUACCAUCUCUCCAAUAUUAUUAACUUCAGUAAAUGUGCUUCCAAUAGUAGAAAGUAAGUGAUGGAAAUAAUCAGAUUCUUGUGCUUGCAAAAAGAUAUCAAUCAUUUCAGAUUCCUUUAUUGAUGGUCUGACUCUUAAAGCCUGCUCUCUCCAUUUGACAACAUAUUCUCAAAAACUUUCAGUCAUCUUUUUUCCCAUGUUGGAAAGCGUAGUGCGAUCCUGCACUAUUUCCAUGUUAUAUUGAAAUUAUUGAAUAAAAUACCGAGCCAUGUCAUCCUAUACGUGCCACCAGGAAAUGUAUUGGUCAAUGAACCAUUCAGAAGCUAUCCCUGCAAUGCUUUUUCCAAAGUAAGCCAUCAAUAAUUCUUCUUUUCCUCCUGCGCCUCUUAAUUGAUUGCAUAACUUCUUCAAAUGAGCCACAGGAUCACCAUGACUUUCGUAUUUUUCAAAAUUUGGUAUUUUGAAACCUAAAGGCAAAUGGACAUCAGGAAACAUACAGAAAUCCUUGUAUGAAACACUUUUUGGUCCUCCUAAUCCUUGCAUAUUUCUCAUACUCUGCUCUAAGCUUCUUACUUUUCUAGCCAUUUCUUCUUGUUUUUUAUUUUUAACAAUCUUCUCAAUCAUGAUAGGAGAAUUGUUUUGAUGAGAAUGAUAAUGUGGAUUUUGGGGUUUGAAAGUCAUUUCAGGAGGAUAUAACAGAUCAUGACUUGGUUCCCCCAUAUUUUUCGGUACUAUCGAUUGAGUACACACAGUAGCUGGUGCUACAAAAGUAAAAAGUAGGUUAUUUGUUACAGACGGAUUUGGUGGGCGCAUGGUAGAAGUACCUGCAAUGCCAGACACAUUAGCAUAUGGGCCAAAUCCAGGCGGGUAUAAUGGAUCGCUAGUUUGAGCUUGAGUAGGAUUUAGAUCAUUCGUAUUCAAAAGUCCAGGGAUUGAGGGAGACGGGGCUUGUCCACUCAACCAUGUUUGGUACAUUUCUAUCAUCUGUUGUUUCAAUAACUUAAUCUCUUCCAUUGAUGCUAAUUCUUGCGAAAUUAACUAAUUUUUCUCCUCCUCACUGUCAGACCCUACACCCUCUCUGCGGGUUAUUUUUCUUUUUCCCUUGUAUCUGGUGUUGUACGAAUGUGAUGCCAGUUUAAACCAUAAACCAACCACCAACUAUUUUAUUUUUCUUUUACCAAGUAGCAAGCGGGUGAGUGUUACAUAUUUAACAUAUUAUAAUGCCACGUUGUAUGUUAUGCUUUUAGAUGCAUUUUCAAACCUAUCAUGAAAGGCCUUAUGUUUUAUCCCGGCUUUUCUAGGUGCACUUUUCAAAAAGUUAUGACCGAACCCUUUGGAGGGUUGCCUAUGUAUCAUGCCAGGACAUGAAUCAUCUUGCGUAGUUCGGAAAAAUUUAACAAAAAUGAUUGAUCUAUUUUUUUUAAAGAAAAUAAAUAAAGUAAGUGAAGUAAAAUUUAUAUAAUAUAUAUAGAAUAUAUAUAGAAAUAAACAGUCAACUUCAUUACAUUUCAUAAUUUUCAAAUACAAAUAUGACAAAAUAAAUGAUCCAACUCCUAAGAUAAAAUCUACUAACUGACAUCUGACAAAUAAAACUAAAUUUAAACAUAUAUGAUUAGCUAAAGGACAUAAUAUCUGAAUAAGAAGUUUUUAAACUGAAACUGAAAAACUAUGACAAAGGAAACAAUUAUCCACUUAUACAAUUGAACCCCAACGUCUCAAAGUCUUCAACUGAUUCUUAUAGCUUCAACAUGCUCAAUCAAGGAGAUUUUGGCUUAAUAUGACCUCACAAACCCAAAUAUAUGUCCUCUAAUAAAGUAGUGAGACGCUGUACGAAAGGUGGUACUUGUGCUAAAAAUUCUUCAUGAUUCAACUGCUGGUAGUCUAAACCCAUUCUGGCGGUAUACUGUUCUACUCGACGGACCUUCCCUCAAAGGAAAUUGAAGGCCUGAUCCCAUUCUUGGGCCUGUCGAUCUCGGGAAUUAAUUAUUCUCUUGUACGUUGUUCACGAGAAGAAGCAACGUCCAACUAUUCUUGCAAUAUCCCUCUUCCAUGUAUCCACUGAGCUCUUUCUCGAUCAAAUUCUUCUUGCAUGUUCCUUUCAACUUCUUGCAACUGCUGUCGGCGAGAUGCGGUAAGUUCUGCAACAUGUGACCCCCUAGUUAUAACCAAUUUGAUUCGUCCCUGAAGUGCGAUCUCUAUAUCUGCUGACUUAGCUUUCUCUUCUGCAAACUGUCAUUGUUGUUCUUCUAUUUUUUCCCUGGCAUGCUCCAAUUCUACUCUCAAAACUUGGGUGGCAGCAGGAUGUUCUCGCAUAGCUCUCUCGAUCCCUAUCCUGAUUAUGGCGUCUUGAUCUAUGGAUACCUUGACUGAUCUUUCUGGUCUGACUGGUGGACUCGGCUAUUUUUUAAAUCAUUCACGAUAGUCUGGGUGUACUUCUCCCUUGUCACGCUCUUUGACCAUUGUUUCAAUUCCCAUGAUACAGCAACCAUCCCAUAUCUUCUAGGCCAAUCCCUACGAAAGUGGAAUCUCUGGUCUGACCUCAAAUACAAACUCAGCCAUAUUUUCUGUUAUGGGAAUUACUUGACAUCUGCCUAGUAGAUGUAGAACUCUUAAUGGAACAUACGAUUGGACACCUCUAAUACCCAUUAACAAUAAGAACGGCUGAAUGAUAAAACUAUGUAUGACUUGCCUCCAAGGGAACCAAGGGAGAUUCCAAGUGAUUUUAUCUACCUUUAGAGAACGAAAAACCCUAACCCAAUCUCUGAUUCCUUAUGGGGAUUUAUAUUUCUCUAACCUCUCUUCGUAAUCUUUGAUGCGAUUAAGUCGUUCAGGUUAAGCCUUGCCAUUGUAGGACAAUGGUAAAGAUGCUCCACAAUCCACAUCUGUAGCAAGAUAUUACGUCCUUCGAAAAACCCUUUCCUUUCUGACAAACGAUCAGAGCACGGUAAAUAUCAGCCAAGAUCAUUGGUACCAUAGUGUAAUUUUUUUAAUCAGUAUAUGUACAACUCCAGCUAAACUAAUAUUAAUUUUUCUCUCUCUCCCCGGGAAGUCCAUAGUGCCUAAAAAGGCUACCAUGAAUGCAAAUCAUCUAUGAGCUUUCCAAGCCUCAAAACUUUCCUUGUUAUAGAGUUGUUGACCAUACUUCUCAAACCCCUCUUGCCUUCCAUAUCUAUCAUACAAAAACUGCAAAGAGACCCAAUCUUUUUUCAUUGAUUCUUCUUUUGAGUUUCAUAUGUUUAUGAGCCUGCAAAAUCUGUUUAUCGAGAUGAGUCUUGGGGCUAUAAGUUUUUUCGAUGCAAAUCUUUGUAUCCAACAUAGGCCAUUAUCUCCUCUAAAGUCAGGGUCAACUCAAAAUCUGAAAAGUAAAAUACAUUGUUCCUCGGGUCCCAGAAAUUCAACAAUGCAUCAAUCACAUCCCUACUAGGAUUGAUUGUCAUGAUACUUGUAAAAAAA
rnacentral:lncRNA from 1 species